CCUACGGGGGGCAGCAGUGAGGAAUAUUGGUCAAUGGACGAGAGUCUGAACCAGCCAAGUAGCGUGAAGGAUGACUGCCCUAUGGGUUGUAAACUUCUUUUAUAUGGGAAUAAAAUGUUCCACGUGUGGGAUUUUGUAUGUACCAUAUGAAUAAGGAUCGGCGAACUCCGUGCCAGCAGCCGCGGUAAUACGGAGGAUUCGAGCGUUAUCCGGAUUUAUUGGGUUUAAAGGGAGCGUAGGUGGAUUGUUAAGUCAGUUGUGAAAGUUUGCGGCUCAACCGUAAAAUUGCAGUUGAAACUGGCAGUCUUGAGUACAGUAGAGGUAGGCGGAAUGCGUGGUGUAGCGGUGAAAUGCUUAGAUAUCACGAAGAACUCCGAUUGCGAAGGCAGUUCACUGGACUGCAACUGACACUGAGGCUCGAAAGUGUGGGUAUCAAACAGGAUUAGAUACCCCUGUAGUC
rnacentral:rRNA from 1 species